rnacentral:tRNA from 1 species
GGGUGUGUGGUGGAACGGUAUACACAAGGGACUUAAAAUCCCUCGGCCGCAAGGUCUUAUGGGUUCGAAUCCCAUCAUGCCCACCA